rnacentral:rRNA from 1 species
GACGAACGCUGGCGGCGUGCCUAAUACAUGCAAGUUGAGCGCUGUAGGUUGGUACUUGUACCGACUGGAUGAGCAGCGAACGGGUGAGUAACGCGUGGGGAAUCUGCCUUUGAGCGGGGGACAACAUUUGGAAACGAAUGCUAAUACCGCAUAAAAACUUUAAACACAAGUUUUAAGUUUGAAAGAUGCAAUUGCAUCACUCAAAGAUGAUCCCGCGUUGUAUUAGCUAGUUGGUGAGGUAAAGGCUCACCAAGGCGAUGAUACAUAGCCGACCUGAGAGGGUGAUCGGCCACAUUGGGACUGAGACACGGCCCAAACUCCUACGGGAGGCAGCAGUAGGGAAUCUUCGGCAAUGGACGAAAGUCUGACCGAGCAACGCCGCGUGAGUGAAGAAGGUUUUCGGAUCGUAAAACUCUGUUGGUAGAGAAGAACGUUGGUGAGAGUGGAAAGCUCAUCAAGUGACGGUAACUACCCAGAAAGGGACGGCUAACUACGUG